rnacentral:rRNA from 1 species
GGGCCCGCACAAGCGGUGGAGCAUGUGGUUUAAUUCGAUGCAACGCGAAGAACCUUACCUACUCUUGACAUCCAGAGAACUUUCCAGAGAUGGAUUGGUGCCUUCGGGAACUCUGAGACAGGUGCUGCAUGGCUGUCGUCAGCUCGUGUUGUGAAAUGUUGGGUUAAGUCCCGCAACGAGCGCAACCCUUAUCCUUGUUUGCCAGCGAGUAAUGUCGGGAACUCCAGGGAGACUGCUGGUGAUAAACCGGAGGAAGGUGGGGACGACGUCAAGUCAUCAUGGCCCUUACGAGUAGGGCUACACACGUGCUACAAUGGCGCAUACAGAGGGCAGCCAACUUGCGAGAGUGAGCGAAUCCCAAAAAGUGCGUCGUAGUCCGGAUCGGAGUCUGCAACUCGACUCCGUGAAGUCGGAAUCGCUAGUAAUCGCAGGU